rnacentral:rRNA from 1 species
AUUGAACGCUGGCGGCAGGCCUAACACAUGCAAGUCGAACGGUAACAGGAAGCAGCUUGCUGCUUUGCUGACGAGUGGCGGACGGGUGAGUAAUGUCUGGGAAACUGCCUGAUGGAGGGGGAUAACUACUGGAAACGGUAGCUAAUACCGCAUAACGUCGCAAGACCAAAGAGGGGGACCUUAGGGCCUCUUGCCAUCGGAUGUGCCCGGAUGGGAUUAGCUAGUAGGUGGGGUAACGGCCCACCUAGGCGACGAUCCCUAGCUGGUCUGAGAGGAUGACCGGCCGCACUGGAGCUGAGACACGGUCCAGACUCCUACGGGAGGCAGCAGUGGGGAAUAUUGCACAAUGGGCGCAAGCCUGAUGCAGCCAUGCCGCGUGUAUGAAGAAGGCCUUCGGGUUGUAAAGUACUUUCAGCGGGGAGGAAGGGAGUAAAGUUAAUACCUUUGCUCAUUGACGUUACCCGCAGAAGAAGCACCGGCUAACUCCGUG